GCUCCCUUACUGGUAAGAAGGUGGAUCACUGCAAACCAGGAUUUGGUAAAAAUAUAAACAACAGUACACUGUGUCCAGGAUGCUGUGUAACAUGCCCACCGGGUCGAUUCAGUGCAAGAUAUGAUACCACAUGUAUUCUCUGUGCAUCUGGAUCCUAUAAUAAGAAGUACGGGCAGACUGCAUGCAAAAACUGUCCAAAAACACAAACUAGUGAUAGAAGAGGAGCCAAAACUGAGAGAGAGUGUCACGGAACUCUGCAAAUCUGGAUUGUGUUCUUAAUUUCCUCCUUAGGAACAAGCCUUAUCCUAGUGACAUCUUGGGUGUAAGAACCUUUAUGGCAUUGUAUCUAUUUCUAUUAUUCUUUAAUAUUGUUUGUCAGAUAGGACCCCUGUACAUCCCUUCACUUACAGAAACUGAAGGGAGCCUGUGACAGUGGAUCUGAUCUUGGAGUACAAAUGAGUGAAGUGCUGGUUCCAUAGGACACUCUCGCGCUCUUCUCUUGCCUCUAAGCAUUGGGGGCUAGAUGCACAGGAGAUGGUAGAUCUCCACUUGAUUCUCACCCACUCAGAUCAGCACAGACAGAGAGUAUAAGUUGCUGCAGGCAGUCAGCACUAAGUUAUCCUACUUCCUCCUCUGUACUAGGGAACCCUUACCUCCCUAAACCCCUUAAAGGGACUUUCUGGAGCAGCUGACAACCACAAAUGUUGCUGGAUGCACAUCUUGAGGCUAUAAUAAGCCAAUAUGAUUGGGCAGCUGUGCACAGGCCAGAAACCUUUGCAAAUGUCCUUGCAUAUCUGUAGUUUGCAGAGUACAACCUCCAUCCUUUAGUUCAGUGAAUGGAAGAAUGCUAUGGAAACCCUGGAGAGUCUGUGUCAGGGUAACCAAACUAUGAAAGUGGGGCACACACGCACAGCUUGCCAAGAGCCAGAGGUCCCCAUCUUAUCAGGAUACACAUUUAUAUACAUUUUGUAUAAAAAUAAAUGCAGAGGUAUUUUCUUUGAUGGAUUAAUCUUGAUGCUGGUUAUUGGCUUCAGUGGGACUUAGAUCAGGCCUAUACUGAUUAAAGGUCACCAAUAAUCUUGCUCAGGAUGAGGGAGGCUGCAUUUAGCCCUCAGGCUGCCCCAGGUGUUCCUAGUUUGACAAUUUGUUUUUAACAUUUAUUUCAUUAAAUUAAUA